GAGACUUCUGAGAACUGGUUUAGAAUGCCUUUACCCUGAAAAACCGAGUUUGUGUCACGUGUUCAAUAAACACAGCUCAGUGUUCAGGGUCAUUGGAUUCUAUGUUGGCUGCUCUCUGUGUCUC
rnacentral:precursor_RNA from 10 species